rnacentral:misc_RNA from 1 species
GCAGGAGAGCCACGGUUGGGAGAGACCCGAGGCAGGUGGGCGGGGAGGGAAUCGAUGACUUCUUCCCCUCCCACACGCAUCCCGUCAUCUCCCCUGCUCCCCUCUUGCGCGGAUCCUCCACCGAUGACUGGAUCCCGUCCUCUCUCUGGUCGCUAGCGGCGUCCGCGGCCUUCCCCACCGUGAGCGGCCACGGCGGCUCCCUCCACUACUUCCGAUGGGUGGAUCCGGCGGUGGCGGUGGCGGCGGCGGCGAGAGGAGGGAGAUGCGAAUGCGGCGAGGAGGAGGAGAUGGAGAUGGGGAUGGAAACGCGAACGCGAUGAGGGAAGAGGAG